rnacentral:rRNA from 1 species
UACGUAGGGUGCUAGCGUUGUCCGGAUUUAUUGGGCGUAAAGGGCUCGUAGGCGGCGUGUCGCGUCGGGAGUGAAAGCCCGCUGCUUAACGGCGGGUUGGCUUCCGGUACGGGCAUCGCUGGAAUGCGGCAGGGGAGACUGGAAUUCCUGGUGUAGCGGUGUAAUGCGCAGAUAUCAGGAGGAACACCGGUGGCGAAGGCGGGUCUCUGGGCCGUUACUGACGCUGAGGAGCGAAAGCGUGGGGAGCGAACAGG